CCUACGGGCGACAGCAGUAGGGAAUCUUCCACAAUGGGCGAAAGCCUGCUGGAGCAACGCCGCGUGGGUGAAGAAGGUCUUCGGAUCGUAAAACCCUGUUGUUCGAGAAGAAAGUGCGUGAGAGUACCUGUUCACGUUUCGACGGUAUCUAACCAGAAAGCCCCGGCUAACUACGUGCCAGCAGCCGCGGUAAUACGUAGGUGGCAAGCGUUAUCCGGAUUUUUUGGGCGUAAAGGGAACGCAGGCGGUCUUUUAAGUCUGCUGUGAAAGCCUUCGGCUUAACCGGAGUAGUGCAUUGGAAACUGGGAGACUUGAGUGCAGAAGAGGAGAGUGGAACUCCAUGUGUAGCGGUGAAAUGCGUAGAGAUAUGGAAGAACACCAGUGGCGAAAGCGGCUCUCUGGUCUGUAACUGACGCUGAGGUUCGAAAGCGUGGGUAGCAAACAGGAUUAGAGACCCGAGUAGUC
rnacentral:rRNA from 1 species